UAGAGCUUCUACGCCGGUUAGGACGUAGGUAUCGCGCCGUACUCCGGGAACCUAAGAUUCUACCUCAUCAUAUCCCUGAGUUAACUUCUAAUCGAUCUUACAAAGCACGUCAUUUUUAACAAAAGGGACUCAAAGUUCCCCCUUGCGAGCAUCACAAAGUAUCUGAACUAAGUCGUUAGGAUGUUAGGAUGUGCAGCCUGUUUAUGGCCUCCGGGCAUAUCUGCGCUAAAACCUGCCUCACUCCUAUUUAUCUUACUCUGAUACCUACUGUCUCGCCAUCCCAAUCUCUUGUUUCUACUGAACAGCCCUCGUCACAGUUGUAGUCGCGCAAUCGGAGAAACCCCCCCGCAAGGCCGCAAAGCCGCGCGGCUGUGUGGCCUAAAUGACUCUCUGGACUGACUACGCAUGGAUAGUGGUGGUAGGCUGUCUGGCAGCCUUCUUCACUGUAAGUGGGCUCGAUAUGGCCGACAGUUAGUCAGUCAACUGGUAGCCGCUAAGCUCUUACCAUCGCCCCUUUUGUACCCCAAACGCUCGUCACAGGCAUACGGCAUAGGUGAGCUUUUUAUUCACGGAAUGGCUCCUGCGAGGGGCUUGCGAAAGGCCGUCGUGGCCAGAGCAGCGUACGGCAGCACACGUGAAGCACGACAUCUCGUACAAUCUGGCUCCAAGUGAUAGUUGGCUAUAAACCUGAGGUGGUGUAGCACUUCGCGGCGGGCAGCGCGGAUUGGGGGGGGGGGCCCGACGAACAGUGCUUUGGCUGCGACAAAAAAUGCCGAUACUUAAAAAUAUAGAUAUAUUUAUUCGCCGGCGUUCUAGGAUCUAUACUACCGCGAACUGCGGUUGCUGCAAGGGGCUACUGCAAGUCGCAACAUCGAAAGCAUCAAACGAUGCUGAUGUACAGUGUACGGCAGAACAGCUGUACGACUCACAGUGGGUACGGAGGAUCUGUCAAAAAUAUGAUUUUUGGACAGUCCCGUGUUUCCUAUCGCCUCCUCACGCUUGGUUGCCAUUCAGCAGGGUAAUACCUUACUAAAUAAAUAUCUCCUGUACGACAUGCUCCCGUACAUCUCAACCGUGUUGUCCAACUGCCCCACCACUCCCCUCCGCCACUCCUCCCCUGAACCCUAAAACCUAAAAACAUACCUGAAAGAACCCGGCCCUGUGGUCUCCUGUUGCGCUUCUUUACCGUCCCCCCGCCUUUGGUUGUGACGAUUGCGGCGGCUGGUUGGGUGCGACUGCGACUGGUUGGUUGUACGAC
rnacentral:lncRNA from 1 species